GAUGAACGCUGGCGGCGUGCUUAACACAUGCAAGUCGAACGAGAAGUGAAGACGGAAACCUUCGGGCGGAAGGCUUUAUUUCGAGUGGCGGACGGGUGAGUAACGCGUGGGUAACCUGCCUCAUACAGGGGGAUAACAGUUGGAAACGACUGUUAAUACCGCAUAAGACCACAGCACCGCAUGGUGCGGGGGUAAAAACUCCGGUGGUAUGAGAUGGACCCGCGUUCGAUUAGCCAGUUGGCGGGGUAACGGCCCACCAAAGCGACGAUCGAUAGCCGAUCUGAGAGGAUGACCGGCCACAUUGGGACUGAGACACGGCCCAAACUCCCACGGGAAGCAGCAGUGGGGAAUAUUGCACAAUGGGGGAAACCCUGAUGCAGCGACGCCGCGUGAGUGAAGAAGUAUUUCGGUAUGUAAAGCUCUAUCAGCAGGGAAGAAAAUGACGGUACCUGAGGAAGAAGCCCCGGCUAACUACGUG
rnacentral:rRNA from 1 species